UGAACUAUAAAAUGCCACAUGGAGGAAAGAACAUUGUUCCACCUUUUAGGUGUGGAGUCAUCCAAAUGUGGGGCCUAUAGGAAAUAAUAAAAAUAUCAUGAGAAAUGUUGGGCUUCUAGUAAAUAACGAUAUAAAAAUAAAAAAUAAAAGCUUAUAAAAAUUACAUGGAAUUGGCCACUGCAGGAUCUAGCAGAUUAGGAACUGGUUGGUACCUACAGUGAACAAGCUGCUCCCGAUGUUUUAAGGGAACUGGAUCUGUCCUCCUAAAAACCAAUCCAAAUUGGGUAAUUAAUCAUUUGAGAGAGAGAGCGAGAGAGAUAUCAAACAGUUCAUGCAGUCACACCUCAAAACCAAGCAAUCGGAGCUCAAAAUUGAAAAAAUCCCAAAUUUUCUCAACUUUUGAUAGAAUGAAAAAAGUGUCGUGUAAAUACUUUAGAGAAGUGACAAAGAAACAUAAAGAUUUUUUCAGAGAGAAAUGGUGAAAAAGGUAAAACAAAAGGUGAAAAUGGCGAAUCUGGACAUAAAGAGAUCAAAAAAAAAAAAAAAAAAAGGUAAGAGAGUGGCUCAAUGAUGUACACUGGAAAAUUGCAAGGCUUUCUAGAAUUAGAUGAUUUUCAGUUGUGGGCAAAAUUCGCCUGACAACAAUUUAUCAAGCAUAACUGACAUAUGCACAUGGACUGGGCGGUUCUUAUCUAGACAACAACAUUAAGUAAUAUCAAAAGAUAUUAUAAUCCGGCCGGCGUACAUGUUUCUUCUGGAAAAAACUUAAAGGCCACUUGGAUCCAUGGAAAAAAAUUAUUUAAAAAAAUCUAUUUCUUUUGAAAUGUAUUUUUUGAGAAAAGUAGUGGCUAUAAACUAGAUUUUUGUUGUUUGGAUGGUACAUGAUUUUCAUGGCUUUUUUUAUAAUUUUCAUUAAAUGCUUGAUUGUAUGAUUGUAUUCUUCAUUAUAAUUAUUAAAUUUGAGAUAGAUUCUCUCGAUAUCUUUCUCUCUCUAAAAAUUUCGAGAUAAUUUAUCUCUAUCAAAAUUUUCAAGUAGUUUAUCACUCAAAAAUUUUAAGAUAUUUUAUCUGUCUAAAAUGUCAAAAUAUUUGCUCUUAAAAAUUUAAAUUUUGAGAUAGUUUCUAUCUCUAAAAACUUUAAGAUAGUUGUUUAUGUCUAAAAAUUUUAUGUAGUUUCUCUCUCUCUCUAAAAUUUUAAGAUACCUCUCUAAUUAAAACUUAAAAUAUGAUAUAGUUUCUCUCUCUAAAAAUGUUUAGGCAGUUUUUUUUUUUUUUUACAAUGAAUUUUUUAGGUUAUUUUUUUCUCAAAAAUUUGAUAUACUUUCUCUCUCUAAAAUCUUAAUAUACUUUCUUUCUCUAAAACUUAAAAUUUAAUAUAGUUUCUCUCCAUAAAAAUUUAAAUAAUUUCUCUCUCUAAAAAUUGUCAAGUACUUUCUCUCUCUAAAAUUAAAAAUUUGAGAUAGUUUCUCUGUCUAAAAAUUUUGAUAUAUUUUAUCUCUCUCUAAAAACAUUCAGGUACUUGCUAUCUCUAGAAUCUAAAAGUUGAGAUAGUUUCUCUCUCUAAAAUUUGAUAUAGUUUCUCUAUCUAAAACUUUAAGAUAUUUUAUCUCUCUAAAACUUAAAAUUUGAUAUGGUUUCUCUCUCUAAAUAUUUGAGAUAGUUUCUCUUCAAAUCUUUUCAAGCACUCUUUCUCUCUAAAUCUUAAAAUUUGAUAUAGUUUAUCUCUCUAAAAAAUUUUAGAAGUUUCUCUCUCUAAAAAUUUCGAGGUGGUUUCCUAUCUAGGAUUUAAAAUUUGUGAUAUUUUCUUUCUUUAAAUUUUUUUAAAUAGUUUCUCUCCCUAAAAUUUAAAAUUUGAUAUAGUUUCUCUUUCUAAAGUCUAAACCUUAAAAUUUGAUAUAAUUUCUCUCUAAAAAUUUUGAGAUAGUUUUUAUCCGUAAAAAUUUUCAGAUAGUUUAUCUAAAAUUUAAAAUUUGAGAUAGUGUUUCCCUUUAAAAAUUUUGCGAUAGUUUCUCUAUCUAAAUGUCAAAAUUUGAGAGAGUUUCUCACUUAAAAUUUUGAGAUAGUUUGUCUCUCUAAAAAAUUGUAAGUACUUUCGCACUAUAAAACUUAAAUUUUGAGAUAGUUUAUCUCUCUAAAAAUUUUGAGGUGCUUUCUCUCUCUAAAACUUAAAAUUUAAGAUAGUUCUCUCUCUAAAUAUUUUGAAUACUUUUUUUUUCUAAAAUUUAUAUAGUUUCUCUCUCUAAAAUAUUUAGAUACUUUUUCUUUAAAACUUACAAUUUGAAAAUAGUUUGACUUCUUAAAAAAAUUAGAUAGUUUCACUCUCUAAAAUUAGAUAUAGUUUUUCUCUCUAAAAUUUUAAGAUACUUUCUUUCUCUAAAAUUUAAAUUUUGAGAUAGUUUCCCUAAUUCGUGGGGGUGUUUUGGCUAGAUAAAUUAUAUUUUACAAAGUGUGCAUCUCUGUAACGAGGAAAUCUAGCUGGAAAUCAAUUUCUAAGGGUAAAGAUAGGGAUACAUAUUUUUUUUUAUUAUUUUUGGCUUGAAAUGAAGAAAAUGAUUUUUGGGAGAAAUAUUUUUUUGCCCGUAAGUUUCGAUCCAAACACCAGAAAUGUAACAUCUUCACAAAAAAAACUUUCUGGAAAUAUAUUUUCAAGUAUCCAAAUAAACCCUUAUAUAACAUGAAUUUUAGAGUGCCAUAAUUUUAGUGAUAUAACCUCUUCAACUCAAAUAUUAACUUUAAUUUAAUAAACUUUCCUAAUUGCACCCUCUAUUCACUUGGAAAAAACAUAAAAUAAAGGGUCUUUAGAUUGAAUAGAGACCAUCCAAUUUUUAGAAGGUGAUAUCUAAAUAUUAAAAAAUUCAAAAUUACUAUUAUUUCUUUCUUUUUUUUUUUUCUGUUUGAGAAUAAACAUCUAGUGAUUCUUUGAUAGUUUCAAGAAUUUUAGAUUGAAACAAAUUAUUUCCAAAUAGGUAUUCUGAUAGAGGGAGAAGAUGUACACUAUGCACCUAUAGGAGCACAGACGCAGCCUAAAGUAAUUCCUGAUCGAGGGAGAAGAUGUACACUAUGCACCUACAGGAGCAUAGAUUCAUGCUCUAAAGUAAGUCUAGCUCAUCGGAACAGAUAAUUAUUAUUUUUUUUAAAGAAACACGCAGUAGCUAUUCCAUUAAGGUAACGAAGUUACAAGAAACAAAAUGAAAAUAAAAGAAAAGUUAAAAAACAAAAUGAAAAAACACUAGCAAACACAAAGCCCUUACCCUACGCGGUAGCGGCUUCAGGAAGACAGUCAGCUGUACUGUUAAAACCUCUUUUGACAUGACGAAAAUAACUUCGCAGGACCUUAACACCAGGAUGAUGCUAUCCAUAAUGCCACUAAAGUUCCAAGGCUUAAGAUCUGGCUGUUGGUACCAUUUAAUGACCUUCGCUUAGUCACCUUCAACAAUCGGUGCCCAAAACUUCGUAUAUUAAUUUAACACGUAUGCAAUAUUUUGAUAAGACUAAAC
rnacentral:lncRNA from 1 species